CACGUAGGGUGCGAGCAUUGUCCGGAAUUAUUGGGCGUAAAGAGCUCGUAGGCGGUCUGUCGCGUCGAUCGUGAAAACUUGGGGCUUAACCCUGAGCUUGCGGUCGAUACGGGCAUGACUGGAGUUCGGCAGGGGAGACUGGAAUUCCUGGUGUAGCGGUGAAAUGCGCAGAUAUCAGGAGGAACACCGGUGGCGAAGGCGGGUCUCUGGGCCGAUACUGACGCUGAGGAGCGAAAGCGUGGGGAGCGAACAGG
rnacentral:rRNA from 1 species